rnacentral:rRNA from 1 species
AUUGAACGCUGGCGGCAUGCCUUACACAUGCAAGUCGAACGGCAGCACGGGUGCUUGCACCUGGUGGCGAGUGGCGAACGGGUGAGUAAUACAUCGGAACAUGUCCUGUAGUGGGGGAUAGCCCGGCGAAAGCCGGAUUAAUACCGCAUACGAUCUACGGAUGAAAGCGGGGGACCUUCGGGCCUCGCGCUAUAGGGUUGGCCGAUGGCUGAUUAGCUAGUUGGUGGGGUAAAGGCCUACCAAGGCGACGAUCAGUAGCUGGUCUGAGAGGACGACCAGCCACACUGGGACUGAGACACGGCCCAGACUCCUACGGGAGGCAGCAGUGGGGAAUUUUGGACAAUGGGCGAAAGCCUGAUCCAGCAAUGCCGCGUGUGUGAAGAAGGCCUUCGGGUUGUAAAGCACUUUUGUCCGGAAAGAAGUCCUUGGCCCUAAUACGGUCGGGGGAUGACGGUACCGGAAGAGUAAGCACCGGCUAACUACGUG